GUCGCCUCACUUAAUAGGCCCAAAGGAAGGGAAAGUCCCCGGUCUUCAAGGCCCACACACGCACCCGAAAGGGCGCCGUGAAGCUCCGAUCCAUCGACUAUGCUGAGCGG
rnacentral:RNase_MRP_RNA from 1 species